rnacentral:rRNA from 1 species
AGAGUUUGAUCUUGGCUCAGGACGAACGCUGGCGGCGUGCCUAAUACAUGCAAGUCGAGCGAGCUUGCCUAGAUGAUUUUAGUGCUUGCACUAAAUGAAACUAGAUACAAGCGAGCGGCGGACGGGUGAGUAACACGUGGGUAACCUGCCCAAGAGACUGGGAUAACACCUGGAAACAGAUGCUAAUACCGGAUAACAACACUAGACGCAUGUCUAGAGUUUGAAAGAUGGUUCUGCUAUCACUCUUGGAUGGACCUGCGGUGCAUUAGCUAGUUGGUAAGGUAACGGCUUACCAAGGCAAUGAUGCAUAGCCGAGUUGAGAGACUGAUCGGCCACAUUGGGACUGAGACACGGCCCAAACUCCUACGGGAGGCAGCAGUAGGGAAUCUUCCACAAUGGACGAAAGUCUGAUGGAGCAACGCCGCGUGAGUGAAGAAGGGUUUCGGCUCGUAAAGCUCUGUUGGUAGUGAAGAAAGAUAGAGGUAGUAACUGGCCUUUAUUUGACGGUAAUUACUUAGAAAGUCACGGCUAACUACGUGCCAGCAGCCGCGGUAAUACGUAGGUGGCAAGCGUUGUCCGGAUUUAUUGGGCGUAAAGCGAGUGCAGGCGGUUCAAUAAGUCUGAUGUGAAAGCCUUCGGCUCAACCGGAGAAUUGCAUCAGAAACUGUUGAACUUGAGUGCAGAAGAGGAGAGUGGAACUCCAUGUGUAGCGGUGGAAUGCGUAGAUAUAUGGAAGAACACCAGUGGCGAAGGCGGCUCUCUGGUCUGCAACUGACGCUGAGGCUCGAAAGCAUGGGUAGCGAACAGGAUUAGAUACCCUGGUAGUCC